UACAGAGGUCUCAAGCGUUGUUCGGAUUCAUUGGGCGUAAAGGGCGUGCAGGCGGUUUGUUAAGUGCAGGGUGAAAGCUCCCGGCUCAACUGGGAGAGGUCCUUGCAUACUGGCGAACUCGAGGGAGGCAGAGGAAAGUGGAAUUCCCGGUGUAGUGGUGAUAUGCGUAGAUAUCGGGAGGAACACCUGUGGCGAAGGCGGCUUUCUGGGCCUUACCUGACGCUGAGACGCGAAAGCGUGGGGAGCGAACCGG
rnacentral:rRNA from 1 species